AAGUCGUAACAAGGUUUCCGUAGGUGAACCUGCGGAAGGAUCAUUAACAUCUGCUUUGGAUUUUGGUGUGGUGUUGUUGGGUCAGAGAGCAAUCUCUUGCUUGAUUAACACCACCUCCCACCCCACUUGUGUGCAUUUUUUGCAGUGUUGAGUUGGUGAAGUGAAGGUGGAAACACCUUGACUUGACUCUCUCUCUCUCUCUACUUUUCUAUUUUAUUAUUAUUAUCAAAACCCCAUUCUAUUCCAUUCUAGUCUGAACACAAACACCUUUUUUCUCACUUACAAGGAGGAAAAAACCAAUCAGCAUACAACUCUUAGCAACGGAUAUCUAGGCUCUC
rnacentral:misc_RNA from 1 species